GACGAACGCUGGCGGCGUGCUUAACACAUGCAAGUCGAACGGAAAGGCCCUGCUUUUGUGGGGUGCUCGAGUGGCGAACGGGUGAGUAACACGUGAGUAACCUGCCCUUGACUUUGGGAUAACUUCAGGAAACUGGGGCUAAUACCGGAUAGGAGCUCCUGCUGCAUGGUGGGGGUUGGAAAGUUUCGGCGGUUGGGGAUGGACUCGCGGCUUAUCAGCUUGUUGGUGGGGUAGUGGCUUACCAAGGCUUAGACGGGUAGCCGGCCUGCGAGGGGGACCGGGCACAUUAGGACUGAGGUACGGCCCAGUCGCCUACGGGAGGCAGCAGGGGGGAAUAUUGCACAAUGGGCGGAAGCGUGAUGCAGCGACGCCGCGUGCGGGAAGACGGCCUUCGGGUUGUAAACCGCUUUCGCCUGUGACGAAGCGUGAGUGACGGUAAUGGGUAAAGAAGCACCGGCUAACUACGUG
rnacentral:rRNA from 1 species